rnacentral:lncRNA from 1 species
CACAAGUUUCUAGGCAGUGUGGGGAGGGAUGGUAUGGAUUUAAUAGUUCUUAGUAUUACAAUAUAUUCUUAUAAAAGGUGCAGGUAAAAAGAACACUGCAGAUUUUGCACAUGAGCCUCAUCUGUCAUCUGAGAGCUGGUGGGAGCAUCCUUGGCCUGAAGGUUGGUGGACGUCCCUGGGACAGGACAGGGGAGAUGGUCACAGCUCCCCAGUGGUGGCAAUGGGACAGGGGCCAGGAGAGCCUGAGCCAGAGCUUUCCCCACCUGGCUGGAGAAUUUUCUCCCAAACGUAGUUCCCCUAACUAGAUAGGUUGUAAGUGCUGGCUGCUGCUAAGAGGGGUUGCAUGAGGUUGACAGCUGGAGAAUUCUACCCAGAGAGCCGCGGAGCAGGGGGACAUGGGGGAAAGGAAGACCGAGGGACGUGUUAAUAGCCUUAAUUAUUUAACAUCAAGGACCAGCUCAGCCAUCUUCAUGGGCACUGGCCCCUUUCUGCUGACCAUGGACCACCGUGAUGGUCCACGGCAUUGUUGAUCUGGCUACAAUGGCAUCAACUAGUACCAAGAACCACUGGCCAAAUCUAGAAAAUAAUAAAUAGGAAAGAAAAAGGCUGGGCUCCGGAACAAUGUAUGCACCCUCUGUAAACAGUUAAACUGAACUUUGCCUAUCUGAAGAUGGACUGAGUCUUAAACUGCUUUCCUAUUCCUGUCUUUCCUGGUGCAUAGCCGGUUUUCCAUGGCAGGUAGGAAGUCCAGGAUUUGGAUGUGCCUGUUGCAUAAAAGUGGAGCCCUCCCCCUGUUCCCUGGCCCUCACAUGUUGGGCUGACUCAGCCAGGCCAGUUGGGGACAGGACCCUAAGAGGCCACCAUCCCAUGGUCUGCUUCUUGCAGGGGGAGCCCCUGGGGUACAGAUGGGCCCAACUGAACUCUGCAGCUGCUCUUCCUAGAAGCCUUGCCUCACCCUAGGCCCUCACCUGGGCCCCAGGAUGGCCAGGCUUGCACUUGCUCAGAUCCCUCCCACUGCAACACACCCGCCCACCCCCUCAAACCAACACACAUGCUGGGCUCACCAACCUCACUUCCACGUGGCUCUGUGCCCACCACCCCCAGGCAUCUGACUCAGCAAAGACCGGCAGCAGGAGGAGGAGCGCAGCCCAGCAGUCUGUAUCCUGGCAGAGAACCUGAAGCAAAGGAGCAGGACAGAAGGGCCGGGCCAGGCUGGACUGGACUCAGAAGAGAAAGGGGUGGGACCAGUGAAGAAAAUAAGAGCCUCGAUGGAACUGACCUCACUCCCUCCAUUUAGAAAAUUGGCCUAAAUACAGCAAUCUUGGCCAUCCCAUGAGGACACUUCAAGAUGGACAAAAACAAAGGAGAGAACGGGAGGGCCCAGAAGUGCCCUGAAAGCCGGGGAAGAACCAAACAGCACCAGAGAGCAGGCACCCCCCGACAGAGCGGCCACUGUUCUCCAUCCACGUGGCCCCAGCAUCCCGGCCCCCAGCCUGAUGUCCCCAAUAGAAGCUGGCCUUAGAGAUGGUGGCCAGUAAAGGCACAGGGCAGUUCUGGCCCCGAGGACUCGACUCCCCAGGCCAGGCACAUGCCAUUCCAAGUGGGUCUCCUGCAGAAUGGAUGGCCAAGGUGGCUUCUGCCCCAUGGUGUUAGAGAAAGGUGUGCUCGCGUGAUGAUACGAAGUGGCAGACCGGGGAGCUCCUGCAGGAGCUAGGCCUUCAAGUGUUACCCUCUGGUGGGGCACUGUCGGCCACAAGGGAGGUCACUGUGUCGCUUUGACCAUGGUCAGGCCCCGUGGGGGCGUGGUCCCAAGGUCCCUGUGCCUGGAGCAUGAGAUGCGCUGAUGGAAGUCUCUCUCUCAGAUCCCCCUUAGCUGAUUCAGCCAGUACCCAGGAGUGAGCCCUCAUCCUGGAAGCUAAGGGUGAGUUUCUGGAUGGUGCAUUCGUUGGAGGGAAAGACCGAAGGGGGCCUACACUGUAGGAAGCUGCUACUCCGUCCUCACAGCUUCGGGCCCUGCCUCGUCUUCCCAGCAUGGUGGUUUUUCUGGAACAGGCCAGCGCUGAGCUAGCUGCUGUGACACAGGAUGCCUCUCCUGUUCCCAUCCAAGGGGAAAGUUGGUCCCCAGGCGAUCUAACCCCUCUGCCACUCCCCUCGGCUUGGCUCCGGAGGUCUGGGCCUGAAUUCUGUCCUGACACGUGAGUGCCGGGGUGGGGAACAGGUGCCCGUGGCCUGGGGUUCCUGCGCAGGGCUGUCCCAGCCAGGACUCAGAAAGAAUCUUGUUUAGGGGAGACGAGAGGAGCCCCCUGAAGGUAAGCAGGGGAGACACCUGGUCAGGUGCACAGAGUCCUCGCCCCAGGGCCCAGCCCUGGGCUCCACACCCAGCACCGAAUGGAAAUUCUCUGCCUGCUCCGCUCAGCUGCUCAGCUCUGCGCCCUGCCCGUAGCUGGCUCCAGUGUGGCCAGUCCCCAGUCAAUAAUUUAGCCGGUUCAGAGCCCGCUCGCGGGUGCCCUCCGGGGCCUGACUCCCUGAGCGCUUGCGGCUGCGCUUGAGCUUGGACAAGUCCUUGUCAAACACUUCCCCGGAGCGCAGGGCCGAAACCAGGUCAUCCAGAACUCGCCGCCCUCCUCCAGCUCCAGAGAGCCACCCGCCAGGACCUUGCGUUGGCCGCUGCCACCGCUCACGCUCUCGCUGCUCCUUCAGCUGGGGGUGGGGAGACGCGGCUGAGCCCGGGUGGGCACCACGCUCCUUCCCGGAUGCCACGGGUCACCUCCCUCAGCCCGGGGCUGACACCCACGGGCCCCUCCAGUGUCGGCCCGGCCCAGCCUCUCACCAUGGCCUCCAUGCGCGCGCGCCGCUCCUCCUCCUCCUUCCUCUUCCGCAUGGCCUCUAGGUCCUGCCGGGCCUCCGAGAAGGCCUGCAGGAAGGUGUCGAAGAUGCCGAAGAAUUCAUCCGGCUGCAUCCUGCUCUCCUGCUCCCCCGAAGUGCAUCAGCGCCUUGGCAAACUGCGGAAGGGAAGGACAGGCUGGCAAGGUCACGGGCAUGAGGGCUCAGCCCUGCAGUCAAAGCAGAGCCCAGCCCGAGGCUGUGAACUCCUGCAUGCUUGGGGUGGGGAGCCCCAUCAUCAGGGGGAUAGCUGCUGAGGAAAGGCUCGAGGCCUGGGAUCACCACCUGGGAGCCUGUUAGAAGUGCUCAGCCUCAACACUCUUACCCUCCACCCCAGGCCUCCUGAAUAAGCAGCCACGUUUCUGAAAGUCCCAUAUGGGUCCAUGCCCAGUUCCCAAGGUGAAGGUAUCCGGAAGUGAGGACUUUUAAAGGUACCAGGUCAUGAGGGCAGAGCCUUCUUGAAUGGGAUUAUCACCCUUCUAAAAGAGACCCAGGAACUUUGCCCUUUCUACCACAUGCAGCCACAGUGUGAAGGCUCCAUCUUUGAAGAAUAGGCCCUCACCAGACACUGAAACUUCUGGGACCUUGAUCUGGGGC